rnacentral:rRNA from 1 species
GGGCUAUACAAUCGAGUAAUCGAGCGUAUAGCUAGUGGCGAAAGGGUUAGUAAUGGCUAGGUAACGUACCCCAUGCUCCGGGAUAGCUAUCCGAAAGGAUAAGUAAUACCGGAUAAUAUCAUGUAUUUAAUGUAUAUGAUCAAAGAUUUAUCGGCAAGGGAGUGGCCUAGUUCCCAUCAGCUUGUUGGUGAGGUAAUGGCUCACCAAGGCAACGACGGGUAGCGGGACUGAGAGGUUGGCCCGCAACAUCGGGACUGAGACACUGCCCGGACCUCCACGGAGGGCUGCAGUAACGAAUAUUGCGCAAUGGGCGAAAGCCUGACGCAGCGACGCCGCGUGUAGGAGGAAGUCCUUCGGGAUGUAAACUACUGUCAGGGGGAAGAAAGUGCGCUCCGGUGCAUUGAUCUAACCCAAAGGAAGUCACGGCUAACUUCGUGCCAGCAGCCGCGGUAAGACGAAGGUGGCAAGCGUUGUUCGGUAUCACUGGGCUUAAAGCGUGUGUAGGCGGAAAAGUAAGCGUUUCGUGAAAGCCCCCGGCUUAACCGGGGAAUUGCGCAACGAACUGCUUUUCUUGAGGCAAGUAGGGGUGCAUGGAACUCUUGGUGGAGCGGUGGAAUGCGUAGAUAUCAAGAGGAACGCCAGUGGAGAAAUCGGUGCACUGGGCUUGUCCUGACGCUGAGACACGAAAGCGUGGGUAGCGAACGGGAUUAGAUACCCCGGUAGUCCACGCCGUAAACGAUGCCUACUAUGUUGUGAAAGUUCUGACACUGGCACAGCCGAAGCAAAAGUGCUAAGUACGCC